rnacentral:lncRNA from 1 species
GAACACGUGGCGAGCUGUCGAGUUGUCCAGAUGUGAAAGGUUAGGGCUAGAGAGGCGCUCGGGAAUUGCAAGGUAUUCGCUCCUGUCCUGCCUCGACAUGAAAACUAGAAACUCCCCACUCCAGUCACUCAAAAUUCUCCAUUCGUCUUCGUCAAUUUGUGGAUGAAGGAGUUGGGAUCCAAAAGAGAAAACCGCAAUGUUUUGGGAAAUCUUCGCGGGCGUGAAGCCGACGGUGGCGCUGCGAGCUGCCGGAGCGAUCCUGCUCGUGGCAGCUGCCAAGGUCUCCAACGCGAUCAAGGAGAAUGGAAGCAAACGCUACGAAUUGAUCAGCACAAGUGAUUCCAUGUAGCGAUCAGGACAAACCAAUGUAAAAAGUACAU